ensembl:snoRNA small nucleolar RNA SNORD94
GCAGGCAUGAUGAGAGGCGCAGGGGUACGGACCUCAGCCGCUGAUGGGGGCUGAGCGCUGCUGCACGGGCUGGCAGGAACAUGUGGUUCAAUGUCAGACGGGAAGCAGCGCGACACAGACGCCACACUGACCUGC